rnacentral:lncRNA from 1 species
CAGAACUCCAGGUUCUCUGGCUUUUGGACUCAGGACUUGCACCUGAGUCCAGAAAGCAGCCUCCCCGGUGUCAGGCUCUCAGACGUUCGUUCUGAGCCCUUCGCACUUGGACUGAUCCACACCACCGGUAUCCCUGGUUCUCUGACUUACAGAUGACCUAUCAUGGGACUUCUCAGCCUCCAUAAUAGAAACAAGUCUUCUGGGCAUCAGAGAAACUCAAAACCACUGUGUGAGUUGCUAAGUGAAAAGUCCUUAAAGAGAAAUCGAUGAUGUACCAGCAGAGAAGCUGAGAUUACAGACAUAAAAAAGUCCUAUUCCUGCUCUCAAAAAGCUAAUUUUCUAGCAUGAAAGUCAAAGUAUGAAGCCAUAUGAGGAGCACUAUGAAAAAAAUAUCCUCAAGAUGCAGAAGGAACUCCAAAAAAACAAAAUAUCCUUAAGCAUUGUUUAAAUUUUAUCAAGUUCUGAAAGGUUAGCACUACAACAAGGAAAAAUUAUUGUCCCUCAAAUUUUAAAAUCUGGUCCAGAUUCUCAUAAGACCAAUCAUGAAGGCAGCUCUGCACAUGCAGGCAGCAAGUCAUCCUAAGAAAGCAUAUGCAACAGUUAGGAAAAGAUGCCUAAAUAUACACCAUGCUUAGUGUGGGUCACUGCUCAGUCAGCUUAGCAGAUAACUGGCAAAAAUAUCAUUGUGUCUUUAAGGUGGUCUCAAUUAUUUGCUUCACACAUCUGGACUAAAGAAUCAGCUUUUCAUGGCUGAGAGUUUGUUAAGAGUUUUUUUCCCCACUUCUUAGAUGUAUAAUUGUGUCUCUUAAGGUGAAUCUCAUUCAAAUAAUCAAUCCAUCAGCUAUUGAGAGCCCAUAAUUUCUUAGCACCCUGUGAUAUGGUUUGGCUCUGUGUCCCCACCGAAAUCUCAUCUCAAAUUGUAAUCCCCACAUGUCAGGGGAGGAACCUAGUGGGAGGUGAUUGGAUCAUGGGGCCGGUUUCCCCAAUGCUGUUCUUGUGAUGGUGAUUAGAUCUCAUGAGUUCUAAUGGUUUUAUAAGUGGCAGUUUCCACUCCUCUCUCUUGCCUGCUGCCGUAUAAGAUGUGCCUGCUUUCCCUUCUGCCAUGAUUGUAAGUUUACUGAGGCCUCCCUAGCCAUGCAGAACUGUGAGUCAAUUAAACCUCUUUCCUUUAUAAAUUAUCCAGUCUCAAGAAUUUUUUAUAGCAGUGUGAGAACAGAUUAAUACACCCUGGGAGGCCAUCUACAGUGAAUACUGCUCUAUUCUCCAAUCUCACUUUGAUAAGAAGUUCCAGAUAGUACCCACCAAGAGAACAAACCUAUUCAAAAGAGCCCUUCAAAUUUGACCCAACAAAGCCUUGCUCCAUAUUAUGUUGACAAAAACACAAACUCCUAUGAACAGUUUACAAUUUGUUCAUCUGUUUUAGUUCAACCAUAUACUUUCUCUUGGCCUUUGUAAUUGAAUAAACACAUAACAAAGCAAGAAGAAUACUAACAGGACAAAUGCUCAAUCUGGUGUUUUCAGCCACAGAACAGUAAAAGUUAAAGUCAAGCUUGAAAACCUCCAUUUUUCUUUAGGAUCACUAACCCAACAAUCGCGGACGCCACUAGAUCCUAGCUACUCCAUGUUUUUAAAUGUUAACAUCACAUAAUAUUAACAAUGAAGUCAAUGACAAAUUAAAUUCUAGAUCACACUCAGAUCUAGAUCACACUAUUCCAGAGCUAUGUACUAUUUUCUAUGCACUUUUGCAUUGUGAAAUUAAGAAGAGGUAGCCGAAAAGAGAUGACAAGCCAUAGAAAUCUCUUCCCCUUUUCAAAGAAGUCUUCCCAUUCUCAAAAUGUGAAUUCAAAGAAAUUAUUACAAACUAGACACUGUAUUUAAUACACAAGGUACAGAAUUAAAAACAAUAAAGAUAUCUAGAUCAGAGCUUGGCAAACUAUGGCCUACAGGCAAAAUCUGGCCCACAGGCAAAAUCUAACCCACAGUCUGUUUUUGUAAAUAAAGUUUUAUUGGAACACAGUCACACUCAUUUACAUAUUGUCUAAGGAACAAAGAGCAGAGUUUGAUAGUUAAGACAGAGAGAGUGUAACGUGCAAAGCCUAAAUUAUUUAUUCUUUGGCCUUUUAUAUAAAAAAAUCUGCUGACCCCUGGUAUGGAUCAACAAUUUCUUAUUUGUAAUGCCCAAAUCUAAAAUUUUUUGAAAAGUAUUUGGCAGCAAAACCUGAACUGACCUGAAAUCCUUUAGCAUCAAUGGUAUAAACUUGUCUGAAUUGAUAUGAGGUUAUUUAUAGUUUCUAUUUAUUUAUCCCACUGGAAAUAUUUAUAUGAUUCACUACAGAAAUUUUGGUUUGUUUGAUUACAGGGAGUUGUCCCAGACCCUACAAAGGUUAUUAUAAUACUUAAUAUACACAGCACAUUCUUUAUGCAUCUUUCCAAGUUCUAAAACAUCCUUAAUUCUGAAAAAUAUCUGGCCUCAAGUGUUUCAGAUUAGAUUUGGUGGUUCAAAGAUGCAAAACCUCUGGGAUAAAAUAACAUUUUUUAAAAGGUUUCAUCUUUGAACAUUCUCAGGGGUAUGAGGUCCAUUAAGUAGGAGUGGAAAGACCAUGAAUGAUAAGUGCCACUCAGUAUUAGUGGACUUUCAGAUAGACACACUCAGAUGAUUUGGAUAGCGUGUAUUUUGUAUUAAGACUUGUGGGCAAAGCACAAAACAGAAAAUAGCAAUAGCAUUAAUAUUAAAAAGAGAGCUAAUAAUAGAUAUCUGCAUGCUAAAAUAUAUUUGGAAGACUGCCACUACAAUUAUAUAAAAAAGUAGCAUUCUUACUUUCUUACAGUCUUGCAGUGUUUGCUUCUAGUUAUUUAAAAGCUGAAGUCCUUUAAGAUUAAUAAUAUAUAACAGGAGAAAACAAAGUUUUCACCUAAGGAGCUCAUGGAUCUUGGGAACUGACCCAAGGACAGAUUAAAAAGUCUUGUUUUGUAAAACUAAGAUUGUCACUUUCUAAAUGUGAAUCUCAGACAGGUCUAGAAAGUGUUGCUUUGAAGCAGUCAAAGAGUUAACCUUGAUGCCUGUGUUUGUGUGUGUCCUCCUCACCACCCCUAAGACAAAAAGCUUAGCAGGCAGCACAGUGAUGGUGCUUUAUGGCAGGUAAAAGAAAUGGACAUAAAAAUAUCAUACAUCUGAACAGGUGUACAAAGUAAGUAGCAACCUGAGUCAUCAGAAAACAAAGAAGGAUAGAUUUUUGACAGAGAAUAUUUUGACUUCAGAAAGACUAUUUCAUAGCACUCAUAGAAUGUUCAGAGAGACCUGGGACAAAGAUUGGGGUCAUGGAAGCUUGGAGGCAUAGCCUCAAUAUUUUUAAUUCACCAUAAAGUAAAAGGUGUACCAAAAAAAAAAAAAAACACAUCAAGUCAGCAUCAAGAUUCUUUCCUUUGAAUGACCAAUAUAAAUAAGAAUAAACCAGCAUUAAAUUUAUAUUGCUGGUAUUCAUAGCUCUCUAUGUAUGAUUAUGGGUGGAACAAAGGGAGAUUGGGUUGCUUCAGCAGUCAUAUUGACUUUGGCAAGUGGAUCAACCAUGCAGUAAUUUGGCACUACCGGCAGACAUCACACCAUUCCGCACAGCUUUUAACUUAGUAUUGUGUUCACAGUCUUUCCAAAGAAUGUCUCCCUUCCUCUUUAGGUCUCAAAAUAAUUAAUGAGAAAUGCAGACAUAUUUGUAAAAAUACAAAAGUUCAACUUCUAACAGCACCAUAAGUCAAACUGAUAAGUCAUACAGAAUUGACACAGGCUUCCAUAUUUGGAUGUUCACAAUUAUUUGCCCAAUUAUCAAAGAGGUUGCAUGCCACACAGAAUGAAUAGGCAGACUAAUCUGAUGAACUGUCUGGGUAUAGCAUACUUUGAAAUCUAAGAUGAGACCUUUAUGCCAACUCAAUUGCAUCAAUAUUAUAUGGAGCCAGCCAUUGGCAGUAUUUUUUUCUCAUCCAGCACUAUGUAUAAAGUAUCUCUUAAUGUCAUUGUCUUGCAGUGGUGUGCAUGUGUGUGUUUGUGCACAUGUUUAUGACAAAAAAAAAACCUUAUCAAUGCAAGGGCUCAGAAAUAUCUAGUACAGGAGUCAGUAAACUUUUUCUGUAAAGGGCCAGGCAGUAAAUAUUCCAGGCUUUGCAGGUCCUACAGUCUGUAGCAAUGACUCAACUUUGCCGUUGUAGCAGAAAAGCAGACAUAGACAAUACAUUAAUGAAUGUGUGUGGCUGCAAUUCGCCAAUCCCUGAUCUAGUGCAUAGAGCUCUAUUGAGUAUGGAAUUGAGAUCAGAUCUGUAACAGAACCUGACCCUCAGCCAUCUAUGCCUCCAAGGAAUUAGUAGUUCUAAAACAUCAGAUUUGAUAUGAUUAUGUAGUAAUAUAUAUGCCCUAGAUACUUAAAUAAUUGCAAAUCAAAAAGGAUUGAGAAGACCAUGAUUCCAUCUAUAGGUUUUCCAAUAAUUUCCUCUGUAGUUCUUUGAAAUGUUGCUUUUCUGUACUCGUAAUCCUAGAUUUGUGAUGUCACCAUCUGGUAUUAACCUCCAGGAUUAAAAGUUAGGAAAACACACUGAAAACCUUGGAAAUUAAAGUUGAACAAUUUUAACGAAAGGAUAUUAAAUUAUUUUAAGCAUAGAUUUAGCAGGACUAUAAAGUGACGACUGUCUUCACAACUUAAAAUGCAGGUAUUAACAUGUUUAAAUGUUUAUCAAUUUAGUUAAAUGAUAGGUAGAUAGAUAGAUAGAUAGAUAGACAGAUAGAAAUAAUCAGCAUAGAUGUGCUUAUGCAAACGUAUUUUGUAGUUCUCUUAUAAGAGGGCUUAGAAUCAAUUACACCUCAGUAACAGUGAGCACACCUACAGCUGAGAUCUUAUUUAACGAUCUUUCUUUAAAUAAGUAAAGGAAACUAUGAGUCCUUGAAGGGAUGGAUAAAUAUAAUUCUAGGGCUGAGACCUGGAGAGUACAAAAUGAUUCUGGGGCAUCUUUUGUGCAAAAAAUUAAGAAAGUUCUCAAGGAAUAAUGAGACAUGUAAAACUAUAUAGAACAAACUUGAAGUGGCCUUCACUGGCCAAAUUCAAGACAAUUUAAACAACAAAAUAAUGAUAGUAACAGAUUAUUCCCCAUAGACUAAAAUAAUAAUCCAUUUAUAUACAUUGAUAUAAACAAAUGGCAGGGGGGAUAUCCUUCAUACAGCAGAAUUCCAAUCCAUAGAUAAAGAAGAAAUGAUAGAAUUUUAAAAUUCACCAUAAUAAUUAUUUUGGACAGGAAAUAUGAAUGAAUGCCAAAACUGGAAGGUGAAAUUGUGAUGAGAAACAGGGCUUAUAUAUUGUCUAUAUCUUUCACAAGACACUUAUCAAGUAAUAUUGCAAAUGGAAAAUAGUAAUUUUACAGUACAGAAACCUGGCAGAUAAUACCAUAACAAGUAGUCAAGUUAGUACCACCAGUAUGGGGGUUAAAUUAAUAUCAUGUGCCUCCUGACACAAUGCACUGAGAAGGAUAUAGCAUCUCAUUUGUAAAAUCAUAUUGCCAAAAAUGCAUGACCAGAAUCUAAUUAUGAAGAAAUAUCAGCAAAUUCAAAUCAAGGAACAAUUUAGAAAAUAUUAGUAAUGUGCUCUUCAAAACUGUUAGAGUUAUGAAAAACAAAAAUUAUAAAAGACUGAAGGUAUGUUUAAAAUCAAAAGAGAUUUAAGAAAUAUGGCAUCUUGGAUCAUAAGAAAAUUUUGGUUUUCUUUCUUUAUAAAGGACAAUAGUGGGAUAACUGAUACAGUUCUGUUACAUUCUGAUAAUCAGAUAAUAGUAUUGUGUUGAUGAAAAUUUCUUAACUUUGAUAAACUGUACUGUGAUGUAUAUAGAGAGAAUGAUAAAACAAGUAUGAUGGAAUGAUAAUGUUGGGGAAUCUCUAUGAACAAUAUAUGGGAAUUCUUUGAACAAUUUUUGUAACUUUUUCAGUAAGUCUGAAUUUUUUUCAAAACUAAAAGAAAAAGAAAAAGAUAUGGACCUAGAGCCAGAGUGCCCGUAUUUGACAUGUGAAUAUGAAGUUGCCUACCUUGGAAGGAUUAUGGGCUGAGUUGUGUCCCCUAAGAAUUUACAUAUUGAAGCCCUAGUCCCCAGGAUCUCAGAAUGGAACUGUAGUGGGAGAUACAAUUUUUUAAAGGGUAAUUAAGUUUAAAUGAGGUCAUUGGUGUGUACCUUAAUUCAAUAUAAUGAGUGUCCUUAUAAAAAGAGGAAAUUUGGCUGAGCGAAGUGGCUCACACCUGUAAUCCCAGCAUUUUGGGAGGCUGAGGUGGGUGGAUCACCUGAGGUCAGGAGUACAAGAUCAGCCUGGCAAUAUAGGGAUACCCCAUCUCUACUAAAAAUACAAAAAUCAGCCAGGUGUGGCAGUGCACACCCAUAAUCCCAGCUACUGGGGAGGCUGAGGCAGGAGAAUCACUUGAACUCGGGAGGCAGAGGUUGCAGUGAGCCAAGAUGGUGCCACUGCAUUCCAGCCUAGGUGACAGAGCUAGACUCUGUCUCAAAAAACAAAUUAAUUAAUUAAUUAAUUAAAUUAAAAGAGGAGAUUUGGACACAGAUGGGUGCAAAGGGAAGACCAUAUAAAGACACAGGGAGAAGACGGCCACCUACAAGCAAAGGAGAGAGGCCUUGGAAGAAACCAAUCCUGCUGACAUCUUGAUAUUGAACUUCUAGCCUCUAGAACUGUAAGAAGAAUAUAUUUUUAUUGUUUAAGCUACCUAGCAUGUGGUACUUUGUUAUGGUGUUCUAGCAAACUAGUACAGGAAAUUUACUAACUGUAUGAACCUUUCUAUUUACAUUUUCUCCUUUGUAUACUAGGGUCAUAAUUAUCUACCUUAUGGGAUUGUUAUGAGGAUUUAAGAAAAUCAUACAUGCAAAGUAUUUAAAACAGCAUCUGGCAUAUACAUUAUUUAGAAAUCAAUGAAUUAUUAUUUCUGCCACUACUAUUACUACUACUACUACAUUACUAUUCCCUACUAGAUUGUACUGAGGCAGAAAUAUGGAAGCAUGAUAUCUAGAAGAAGAUAACACAUAAAAUACCAUUAUAAACUGAUUUACUUUUUCUGUUUUUCACCAAUUGCAUUAUUUAUCUUCACAAGAAGAUACUGAGGAAUAUUGGUCUUGCUUAUUUGCCUGCUCCAUCUGAAAUAAUGAUCUUCUAUUCAAUGAAAGAUUUGUUAGAAAGUCCUGAAUUGGUUUUAUCACUGUGUAGAGAGAUAUCAUUUCUAAGGUCAUAGUUUAGUCACAUGAGAAGAAAAAGCUCAUUAAAUAUUAAAAAAUAAUCUUAAUUUAGGUUGAUCAGUGAAAGCUUACUAUAGACUAGCUACACAUUGUGCUAAAUAAUCUGCAUGUAGCAACCUAAUCCUCAAAACAAUCUUUUAAAUUAUAUAUUAUGUUACUGGCAAAUAUCAAAAAACUAAUAAAAGACUAAACUAGAUUUCUUAGUUUUUAAUCCAAAUCCCAUGAUGUUUACUACUGUGCUCUAUGACAUAGCAUUAUUAUUACAUCCAAAUAUUUGGCUAUAAAUACUUUUUUUCUUUACUUUUCAAGGGACUUAGAACUAUGCAGACAUGACUUCUAAAAAUUUAAAAUAAAUGUUUAUGCAAACCAAAAGAUAUGAAACUUUUACAUGUCAAAUAAACAAAGUCAAAGGCAAGCAACAAACAAGAGAUGAAAGCCCACAAAUAUGACAACUCAAACUAGAAAGAAAACUGAGUCAUCAAAACAAAUACAACAUUUAGGGGAUGGCAGUUUCCAAAGAGGAAAUUCAAAUGGCCAAUAAACAUGGAAAAAUUUUUAUCUGACUAUUAAAGAAGAAAGGUAAAUUUAAACAAGUUGGUAGACUUUCAUUUUGUUUUUGUUCUGUUUUGGGUUUUUUUGUUUGCAUUUCUAUUAAAUUUACAAAAAAAACGAGAAAAGAAAAAAAAAAUCAAUGUUGAUAAGCAUGUGGCUUUUUCGUAUGUUGUUGACCAGAGUAAAUUUUCCUCAGUAUUUUGAAAAGAGUUUUCUAAUGUAAGUUAAAGUAACAUAAAGCUGUUUAUCAUCAGCUCAAUUAUGUCACUGCUAGAAAUCUCGUAGCAAAGUAAUAUGAUUCAAUCCAAUAUAUACAAUAGGUUCUUUUGUAUUUGUUAAAUAUGUUUCUGGAAUAAGGGGAGUGGUGUUAUAUGACGUAAGUCAGGAUGCAAAUUGCUGUGUAACAUAGUAUCUCUGGAUGUUAGGAUUAUGAAUGAUUUUUAUUUCCCUAGGUUUACUCUGCUUUCAUUAAUCUAUAUGUAAAUACACA